GCUGGGUAUGUUGGCAUGCAUCCAUAGUCCCAGCUACUCUGGAAGCCCAGGCAGGGAGGAUUGCUUGAGCCCAGGGGUUCUGGGCUAUAGUACGCUAUGCUGACCUGCUGUCAUACCAAAGUUCUGCAUCAAUAUGGUGAGUUCCCAGGACCAGAGGACCAUCAGGAGGGAUGGACCAGCCUAGGUUGGACAUAGAGCAGGUCAGAACUCCUGUGCUGAUUAGUAGUGGAAUUUGCACCUGUGAAUAGUCACUGCACUCCAGCUUGGACAACAUAGAGAGAUCCUGCCUCUU
rnacentral:SRP_RNA from 1 species